rnacentral:lncRNA from 1 species
UUUUUUUUUUUUUUUUUUUGAAAGAUAGGUAGCACGCUACCCGCUUCAUUUGUUUUAUUUAAAAAUAAACUUAGCUGGAAAUGUGAAUCAACUAGAAUUCGAACUUGGGUCUCGGCUACCAACUAUCAAAUCUUUUCCACUUGCUCUAGAAAAAUUCUUCAUAUUUUUAAAUUAUUUUUGAUAUUGGGAUUAUCACAUCACCGAUCGGUUUCAAUAGACUUGAUUUAGAGUAUUUAAAAUAUCUAAAAACUAAAUUUUAUAAUUUUUCGAUAUUAUUUACCCAAUAAUCGAAAGUGCUUAAAAUCAACGGUUGAAAAUAAAAAUAUCACAAAAUGUGAUGAUAUGAUACUAAAAAUUGUGAUAAAAAAUAUUAAUCUUGUUGUAUAAUUUUCUAUUAAAAUUUCACGUGAUUUGGUUAGUUCUAUAUCGUUAAACUCGUAAACAGUUCACCACAACUAUUAAAAUUGUUAAUUUGAGCCCCUUCGAUUACUAGGCAAAUGAUAUUAAAAAAUUAUGAAAUUUAUUUUUUAGAUAUUUCAAAUAUUCUAGACCAAGUCUAACGAAGCCGAUCGUCGAUUUGAAAGUCCUAAUAUCGAAAACGACUUACAAGCACUAAGGGUUCCGUACUUCUAAAAACAUACUAGCUAGCCUAACUCCAAAAAGAUAUGAUCAGUAUAAAAGAUACAUACGGAGAAUCAAUUGUGAGAUAAAAAAUAAAAAUUUAAUUUAUUAAAUAUAUAAUGUAAAAUUUUAAUUUGUUAAAUAAUAUAUAGGGCUAGAGAGUGGUG